CUUUCCAAUUUUUUCCUAAUCCAGCCCUCUUUGGUGAUAAAACUUACAUCAAUCGAUUACUCUUGAUGAGGACAGUUGAUUGAUGUUGGUUCUGACUUAGUUCGUUGAUGGCCGAAUUCCGGUCAAAUGGCCAUUGACCGGCUAGAAUUCCCAAAUCUUUCUCUUAGAUUUCUUUUUCGUCCAAGCCUUUGAUUCCUCAUAGAUUUCUGACCUAUGAAGUAUUUAUCGGACUGAAAGACAGAAUGAAUACUCAUCAGCUAAAUUUUUUUGGCUAUUUGAAGAGGCAUUCUUGGGAUUUCAUUCCUCUUUUCCCAAAUUUGGUUGUCGUUGCUACUGGUUAAAUCCUUUGACGGCAGAUGUGAGGGAUUUAAUGAGUAAAAACAGAAAACUAAAAGGGUUGAAAGGAAAAGAAAAUUAAGGAAGAAGUCCUAAAUCUUUGGCUAUAAAAGGACACUUUCUCACAGAUCCACACACACAUUUUUUCACACGCCUGUGCCCUAUAGCAACUGGAAAUUUGAGAAUUCCAUAUCUGAACUUCAGAGAAGUUUCAAAAACCCAAAGUUGAAAAAAAAAAAGGGAAUCAGAAGCUGAUCCAAAUCUCAGCUCAUUUACUUUAUAUUCUCUAGGAAUUUCAAUAUAGAAGUGUUGUUGUUUGCUACUGUUUGGUCUUUGUUUUGAUGUUUUCUGCCUUAGGUACGUGUACUUUCAUCUGUAGCAUUUUUUUUUGAGUUUGAGAAUGAAUUUUGAGUUGCCUAUGCUCUGUUUGUGUUUAUUCCUAUAGAUCCAAGCAUGUUAGUUACAAAUCUGCCUAGUUUGCCUUCUUAAUUGACCUUUGUAUUAUUUGUCUACUACUGACAAUGAUUUACACUCUUAAAUAAUAAUUCCUACUUAAUGUGGUCAUUAAUAGUAAUUGAUUUGAGCGUAUGUUUAUCUGCUGGAUUUUAAAAUAGCCAAAGUGAUUUACAAGAGUAACCCAAAUGGCUAUGUCUUUGUAAAUUUAGAAGUUGUUUGGAGAAAAGAGAACAACAUGGGAGGCAGACUUUUGUCAUGGAAGCUCAUAGAAUAGAAGCCUAUAUUUAAUUUUAUAUUAAUGAGUUUGUAAUUCAUGCUAUGAUUAGUGAAAUGUAUGAUUUAAAUUGCUCGUCUCUGUCUUAGUAUCUAGUUGAGUUGUUAAUUAAUUUAUAUUUGUAAUUAUUCAAUUGUUAAUGCUGCUGGGCUCAUUUCUGAGGCCCAAAUCUAUUGUUUAGAAUUUCGAAUUUGUAUGUCCUGGUCCAACAAUUUUUGAGGCCCGCGAUAAUUUAUGGACUCCUGAAAAGAUUAAUGACAUUGAAACAUAAUGAUUUGGGCUUCAAGUUUAGCCCAUUUAUGACUACAAGACCUGUUAAACGUCUGGUGCAUUUGGUUAGAUCAUUUGAGUCCAUAAUGUUGUCACCUAGUUAUUAAUCCAUGAUGAAGUAAUUAAUUAAUGUAGAAAAUAUGUGAUCAAUUUUGAAAUAAGUCAUGUUCAUUAAAAUCACGUUACAAUUUCGAAUUUUCCACCAAAGUACAGUACCAGUCUCGUGUUUGGUCAGCAAUUCAGCAACGCAACUUUAGGUGGUCAUGAGCUUAUUAAUUAUCUUUUUACUAAAGGCUGGGCAUCUGAUUUACUUCUUUAAACAUGCUUGUUCACCAAAUAAUUCCUUAGUUGUGAGACCUCUUUCAAUACUCUCAAACAUUUAGAAAUUAAUUAACCUAUGAACACUCGUAGAAUGCUUUAGGCGCGUUAUUAAUGUAGUAUCGUGAUUAUGUAUACAUUCGUGUAACAUAAUUAUGAUUUCAAAAAUAAAUCAAGGUAUGCAUUCAUGCGACUUUGGCUAAACAAUCUUAAUAAUAAUAAAGUGUUACUAAUUGUGUACACGUACACGUGACAUGAUUUUAGCACACCAAAUAAAAUAGAUUCACACACAUAUGAUACGUUCCAAGAUUAAUUCCAUAACGCCACAAUCAAGUAAUUAAAAGCGGUAAAAGUUAAAAAUGCUCAUAGGUUCCUAAAAUGUGUAAUUAACAAAUAAUCAAGCCAAGUUAUGAUUGUAAAGCGACCAUGCUAAAAUUGCGGAAUCUGGGAGUGCCUAACACCUUCUCCCGGGUUAACUGAAUUCCUUACUCGGUCUUCUAUGUUUCGCAAAUUUAAACAGAGUCAAAAAAUUUCCUUGAUUUGGGAUUUAAAAUAAAUGGUGACUUGGGACACCGUAAAUAAUUAUUUCAAGUGGCGACUCUAUUAAAUUAAAAUAAUCUAAUUUUACUAAUGACACUUAAAUUGAAAAACCUCCUUUUCCCGUAAAAAGGAGGUGUGACAGCUCUGACAACUCGGUUGGAGAAUACGAACCCAGAAUCUCUAGUUCAGGGUUCAAAAUUCGAGCUUGUAAUGUGAUCUAUACUUGGCUUUGUUGAUUGUAUGAUAUUACUAUAUUUGUGGCCUAAUGUGCUAAUUUUCGCUCAUUUACCGCUUUGAUGUUAUUUGAACUGUAUAAACUGCCUUCUUAUGUCUCCCUUCUAAGUCUUCUGAAUUUAUAGUGCACACGUAUGCGUGGCCCACUUUUCUGUUAGAGGUUAUACCAAUUAGAACGAGGCUGGGUCAGUAAUUAGGCCAAGUAGACUUUCGUGCUCCCGGUAUGUUGCCCCCACCUCGGCACGAGCUGUCCGCUUGGGUAAGCCAGGUAUAAAACACUCCCCCCUCAGAAUUUAAACCUAGAAUAAAAUAGCCUCAUGCCGGAUUCCUAGUAAGAACAUUUAUUUGCAUCAUGUACAUUUGGCUUUGGAGACUUAACACAGGGGUUGGGUCUGUCUAGGACAAGUGUACCCAAAAUUACAUGACCAUCCUGAUGCAUCUUACGUGCUACUUGUGCAUUUUAUUUGAUCUGGUUUGCAUGUUGACCAGUUUCUAGAAUAAGGAUAGAAAAUUGAAAACAAGCAAGAACGAGAACUAGGAGAGAGAAAAUUCAUCCGAUUUCCAAAAAAUCCCGAUAUUUAAAAAAUCCUGAAACUCUGCCGAAUUUUUGAAAAAGAAAGAAAGGUCGUUUCAAAAUGAGCCAAAAUUUUCAAGUGUCAUAUUUCCCCUAUUUUGUCAAAACUGUACGAACUACGCGAGUCUGAUUCUCACCGGACGUGAGAUAUGUAGGCAACGUUCAUAGCGUUCGGCCCUAUUUUUGCAAAAUAAUCAAAAAGAAAGUAUUGUGUCCAGAACAUCUUCAAAGUGUCGAAGGGAUGUUCUCGCAAGAACGGAUGUGUUUGUUAAUGGGGCGUCACUUUUACCAUAAUGUCCUCCCCCCGACCCUAAAGCUUUCCUUGAAAGUAUGAAGGGGCCAUAGUUGCAAAAAUAGCCACCCUUUUCUCGGCCAUAAUUGCACAAAUAGCCACCCUCUCUUUGACUUUUAUUAAAAAUUAGGUAAUUUAUAAAAGAUUAUUUUGUAAAAAAGAGUUCAUUGGUUUUGUCUUUUGAAACUAGUGUCAACCCUAACCUUAACCACCCACAGAUACAAAAUGAGUACUGUCCAGAACACACCGUUGACGGUUGUAGAUGAGGCUCCACUUCAGCUUCAAAUGUGGUGGUAUGACUUCGGGCAAGAUGGUCAGAAAUGGGUCACCAAGCACCUGGGGCCCUUAUAGAUAUUAUGAAAGUUAAACAACAUGGCGAUUUGAUUGAGGCACUAGUGACCUUUUGGGAUCCCGUUCACAAUGUCUUCCGCUUCUCUGAUUUUGAUCUUACUCUCACUUUAGAAGAAAUAGCUGGAUAUUUCAGGUUUGGCAGGGAUUUGAGAAACCAGUCAUAUUCCCAAGGGUUACCUCGGUACACCGGUUCUUCGAUCUUCUGAACAUCGGUAAGCAUAUCAAAAAGACCAACGUAGUCGGAGGGUGUUGUUCUUUCUACUUCAUGUACUCCAGGUUCGGGCAGCCAAAUGGAUUUGAACUGCAUGAAAAGGGCCUUAACAACAAGCAGAACAAGGACACAUGGCAGAUUCACCGCUGCUUCGCCUUCAUAGUGGCAUUUCUAGGAAUUAUGGUCUUCCUAAACGAGGAGCGGACAAUGAUACCCGCAUAGCCAGGGUUGUACAGGUCCUCACUACCAAAGAACAUCACCCUCUUGCCCCGAUCAUUCUAUCAGACAUUUAUUGGGCGUUGACUUUGUGUAAGUCCGGGGCAAAAUUCUUCGAAGGGUGCAAUGUUUUGUUGCAAAUGUGGUUGAUUGAGCAUCUCCGGCAUCACCCCAAGUUCAUGAGAUAUGGUCCGAGCAAGGAUAAUUUCAUUGAGAGUUAUGAAGAAAGAGUAAAAGAUUACAACUCGCUAGAAAGGGUGGAAGCUUGGAUAUCCCACCUAAGAUAUUUAAAUACAAGACAAAUUGAGUGGACUUGGUAUGGCUCCCGAUAAGAGAGGUGAUACACAUGUCGGCCCUAAAAAUCUAUUUGUUGUUGUUGGGUUUGAGAAGUGUCCAGCCGUAUGCGCCACAGAGAGUUCUAAGACAGCUAGAAAAGUACUAAGUAGUGCCUGAAGAUGAAGAUUUGAGUGUGCAAGUGAUUGAGCUACACCCUGAAUCCCCACCCCUCGAGGCUUUAAUCCAGCAAAUUUGGAAUGGUUAUCGCUACUUGAAAGAUGAUACCCAGGUGACAGAUCCUACGAGAGGUAAGGUAGAUUCGGGUUAUGCUAUGUGGUUUGAGAAGAGGUCUCGCGUAGAUGAUGAGCCAAAACCCAAAAGGCCCGCAAAAAGGCCACAUGUUCAAGCCUUUUAUGAUAAAAUCCAAGAACGGUUGGUCUGAGGUGAAAAGGAAAAGGGAUACCAAGAAACUAUUCAUGCCUUAGAAGAAAAGCUGAGAAACCUCCAUUUUGAGAAAUACUUACAAGCACAAGAAGCUGAAGGUGAAAAGAAGUGUCUGAUCUGCGAGAAUGAAGCCCUCCGUGCUCAGCUCCAACAGAUGAAGAAAACCUCUGAAGUGCCGGCCAGAAACUGGAAAGACCAAAGAAAUAUUGCCAGCUUGCUAGAGAAAAAUGCAAGAUUUUGAUGCCACUCUGGAAAAUAUUGAAAAGGCAUUACGAAGAGCCAAGGAAAAGAUUGGUCAACUAAGAGGGGAGAUAAAUGACCGCAUGUCAUAACAGAUGAAGAAACAUCACGACGAAGAGGUCUUCUCCCUUAGGAAAGAAUUGGGUGCCCUGGAAGAGGUGUUGGGUCAGCAGUCUAAGGGAUUUGAAGCAGAAAGGGAACAUUGUUACGUGUUGUUUAAUAAGCUGGAAGGUGGUAUAGUAAACCUGCAAAACCACAAUAACAGGGUCGGGCGAUUAGUGGAAGUCUGAGAACAGCAGAUUGGACGGUUGCUCCAGGAACGGGGUGCUACUAAGCUUAGAACCAAAGAAAUAGCUGACUACACCACGAUGAAAUGUAAUGAAUGUGAGAAUAUGACUAAAUCUAUGAUUUUUGCUUCAGUGUUGUCUUUCGCUCGCCAGGUCAUGGCCAACCUAGAGUUCCUUCAUGAUGAGCUUACAGGGGGCCAUGCGUCGUGACUGACUUAUGUCACCCAGGAACCUGGAUUAGAGUUUGAGAGUCAUCUGUCUUUUAAUUAUUCAGUCACCGAGUCUGUAGUUACUUUUUCUCGCAUUGAGUCUGUUGUCCUUCGUCCAUUUAGAGUCUUUUGUUUUUUCUUCGAGUUUGUACGUUUUCAUAUUAAAGUCAGUUAUUGAUAUUUUCGAGUCUUUGUAAUGAAAACCCCAAAAAGAUUUUACUAAUGAAAUAUGGAAAACCCCAAAAAUUUCUUUGCUUUCAUUUUAUAUUUAUUUCCCCGAACUUUUUAAUGGUUUGAUUCAUGCGGCAUCGUGAUGCGUAGGCAAUUCCCAUCGGAUGCAAUUAUAGCCAUAAACAAAACUGAGCGAAAAAUCAACAAAAAGAGAGACAAGUUGAGAGAAAAACAAAUAGAAAGAAAAGAAAUCAAAUAGUGACAAAACAAAAAGAGAAAACCCAGGAGCGUCAAAACAAAAGAGAAAAAUAAAAGGGUGGCCAAAGCAGAAAAGAAAAGAAAAAUAGAGCGGCAAAACCAAAAGAGAGCGAGAAAUGGAAGAAAAGAGCAUAGACAUUUAAAGGCCGGGAUGAAACACGCGACCGUUGCAAACACAUGGUAGAAGCAUUUAAAUAUUUAGGUGCAUUGCAUCCCAACAUGUGAUUUCCUAUCUGUUAAAUGUUUUAAAACUAACAAGGUUGUUGUGCGUGCAAUUUAGCCAGGUUCUACUCAGGUGGUUGGUUUUUGUUGGUAAUAUGGCUUCCCAUCUAUACUUCACAAGAUCUAAAGGCAAUGUUCCUAUGGCCUCCAAAAGUCAUCUACCAAUUAUUGAUCCUGAGGAUAGCCCGGCAUCGACUAUUCCACAACCAGAAUCAACAACUGUUGAAGAGAAUAGGAUGUUGUGUCUCCGCAUGAUGGAAAUGUGGGACGCCUGGUCUAAUGGCAGGGAACCGUCCAACACAAUUUCUGGGUUCCCCGAGUUGAUCCAAGGUCGGGUGGGGAUACCAACGUCCCUGUAUCCAACCCGUUCAUCCCAUACGGUUACCCUACAAUUCCAUCUAACGGUCCUGGCAUGCCUUCUGUGGUUCUCCCCCAAGCGCCGGUUUUCAGGGCACCUCCAGCAUUAUUUUUCGCAACACCUAUUUUCACAGGGGCACAACCGACCAUUCCCAGGCCGUGUUUUGAACCUCCGACGUUUAUAUUCCAAGACCCCCAAUUUCAGCAAGAGAUGACCUAUCACUCUGGACUGAUAUACUCAACAUCCACAGUAUGAUUUUCCGGUAGAACCAUAAAGAAUAGUCAAAAAUCUCGAGCAAGAAGAAAUGGCUUGGAAAAUGAAAAGCCUGGAGCAGAGUUUAAAGAACAUGUAGGGCCUGAGUGGCCAAAAGAGUGUCUCCUACUCCGACUUUUGCAUGUUCCCACAUGUCCAUUUGCGGGUUGAUUUCAAAACGCCAAAAUUCAAAAAGUACGACGGGCACGGAGACCCAAUCGCUCAUUUGAAAAGGUAUUGCAAACCAGUUAAGUGGCGCCGGUGGAAAAGAGGAACUUCUGAUGGCAUACUUUGGAGAGAGUCUGGUAGAAAUUGCAUUUGUAUGGUAUAUGGACCAGGAAAUCGCUCACUGGCACGUAUGGGAUGACCUUGCCAGAGAUUGUUUCCACCAGUUUCAAUACAAUGUGGAUAUUGCUCCGGAUAGAAACUCCCUAUCUAAUCUGAAAAAGAAAUCCACGGAAAAUUUUUGUGAGUAUGCUGUUAAGUGAUGGUAGGCUAUAAUCUCGUAUUUUAGUCGCUUAUUACACUUCAAUUUACUGCACUUUAAGUGUGUUUGACCUUUAAUUGCUAGUGUUUUUCACUUAUUGCGUGUUUUAUGCCUUAUAGGAGUGAUUCCUAGCUAUGUAGAUACUGUGGAGCUAAUUCGAGCUAUUUGGAGCUUUGAAUUUUGAGUAAAAGCCCAAGGGAUUAAGCCGGGAUCAUGUUCGGGGGUCGAGGACCAAGUCUGGACGUCAAAAAUCAAGCAAAAAUCCGUACUCUGAGAAAACUCCAUAACCGCGGUGCGUGGGGCAGUGCGUGGUGUGCCGCGGAUGCCCAAAUCCCGAUGCCUAUCAAUUGUUGAGCUCUUUGUAUUUCCCCACUAAUUCCCCGCAUGGCGCGUUGCCCCAUGCGACAUGCCUGUGUAAUCUUUACAGAGCCAAUGUUGUAUUUCGGCUAGGAGAAGGUUGUUUCAUCUAGGGCCGACCCUACUUGCUAUAAAUACAUGGAAAAACUUUAUUAUCUGGACUUUUGACAUACUUUGGACCUAAGGAGGCUAAGGAGGAGUUGGAAGAACACAAACACAAGGAUUUCAUCAUUCCUUCCUCACUCGAGACCCGAGUUUGAAUUGAAUUUAUGUUUUCCUAUACUUUAAUUUUAUUUGUGAUGUUCCUCCAUAUCUAUGGAGUAGUUCCAUUUAGGGUUUGAUGGAUUUGGUGUCUAGAUGAUUGUUUGUGGAUUAUAACUCUAGUUUUAUGUAUUGAAGCAUUUUUGGAUUAUUUAAUUGUUGCAUCUUUAUUCACUAGUUCAUGUAAUCGAGAGAGGCAUAACUUGUGAUAUCUUUGCAUUAUAUUGUUGGUUGAGUUCAUAGAUUCUUCUAAUUAAUCGAAAGAGACUAGUUGAAUAAUUUAUUAAACCUAGUUAGGAGAAUAAUCGCAAGAGGUUUUUCUAAAGACCAAUCCAUUACGCAUUCUUGCAUAUCUUCACGUGCUUAAAUUAUUUCAUCUUGUGAGGUUAAGACUUAAUCGAGAGGGUUUUUUUUUGCUGAAUGUUGAACUAAUAAUUGAGUGAAUUCGAGAGACUCACUUGAAUAUUAGAAGUAAAUUAUCUAGAGUUAUAUAUCAAACAACUAUCUUGAACCUAUCCUAUCAAAACCCUAUCUUCUCUCAUUGAUAACCUUUUUUGCUUAUUCCUUGCUUCGAUUGUCAUUAGUCAAUAACUUGAGAUUCUUAGUAGAUUUUAGUUAGGCAUCUUAUAAAUCUCAACUGUUGAUCAUCCUGGAUAGCAACCAAGCUAGAAACUAUGAGAAUACUGUUUAAAUCCAAUCUAUGUGGAUACGAUAUUAUACUAUACUAUAUUUGACUAGCGAGCAGAAUUUAAGUGUGUAUUUUACGCUAGUCAUUAAGUGGUGCGAGCAUGCUGCCCGUGUGAAGCCUCCAAUUGAUGAGACAGAGAUGGUCACGAUUUUAUUGUAGGCCCAAGAGGCCGACUAUUUCUAGAACAUGAUGUCUGUCAUGAAAAACCAUUUACUGAAGCCAUAAAGAUUGUAGAAAUGGUUGAAAAUGGGUUGAAAACAGGAAGGAUAUUGAGUCAGGCAGCCCUUAAAGCUACAUCGCAAUCCAUCCAGAAUGGCUCGGGGGGGUCUAGCCAAUCGAAAAAAGAGAGAAGAGGGAGCCAUGAUGGCUUCAAGAUCGAGGGGGUCUUGCAGACCAUUUAAACAAUCUUAUAUGCCCCCUUAAACCUCACAACAUUACUACCUGCACCAUGAUGUUGCAUAUGCAGUGGCACUGCCUCCCUAUGCGCGUUGAUGAAUGCACAACCCUACAUAGGGCCCCAACAAAAUUACAAUCAAAACCGAGCUCCAUCUUACAGAAAUAACCAUCCUUGCCAAGCUCCAUAUAAUCCUCGCCCACCACAAAAUACACCCUAAUAUAAUCCACAUCCCCGAGAGCCUCCCAGAAGAAACCAUUUCACCCUCACCGGUAAAUCAUACAUGAGUUUAUUCCAGAAGUUGACUCAAUUGGGUUUACUAUAACCUGUGGCUCCGAAUCGGCCAAACCCCGAGUCUCCGACAUACCGGGCUGAUGUCAGAUAUGCAUACCACUCAAGGUUGGUAGGCCAUGAUACAGAAGACUAUUGGACCCUCAAGAGGGCAUUUGAAGACUUGAUUGAAGCUAAAAGAAUUGUGCUGAGGGAUAGGGAGACUCCCAAUGUGACCAAUAAUCCAUUGCAUGCUCACAAUAACGGGCCACUUAUUGGUAUGAUCUAUGAUGAUAAAGAAUUUAACCCCCCGCUGAAGGCCAUUGUUUCCAUCGCUAGUUCAGAGACAAAACCUAAAGCAACAGGAAAACCGUCAAAAACUGAAAAGAAAAUAGCUCCGGUCCCUCAUGCCGUUGAAACGAAAGUUGAGCCGGCACCUGCCAAGAAUUUGGUUCUUUAUGUUCCAAAAUCCUCGAGGAAAGAAUAGCUUGUCCUCAUCACUCCAAAGAAGUUUGAUGAAAGUAAACUUAUAUUGAACGUGCCAAGGUUGUACGUACCGAAGGGAACACAUGUGGCACGGGGGACAAUAAUAUUACCAAGGCUAACUAGCCCAUGGUUAUUAGUCCCGCACCACAGAGUCCAAUAAAAGAUCCAACAACAGUCCCUUGGAACUACAAUAGAGUCAUGGUUACUUACAAGGGAAAAGAAAUUGUGGGAGAAGUAAAUGAGAUGACUCGGUCUGGGAAAUACUAUACCCCGGAUGAGCUAAGGAAAGCUAAACAAAACAGGGACAACCAGAUGCCACCCAAGAAAUUCGUGAGCAAUGAAGAAGCGGAGGAAUUAUUUAGGAAAAUGAAAACUUCGGAGUACUCGAUAAUUGAUCAACACUAAAAAACUCCCUCCCAGAUCUCACUUCUAUCUCUGUUGCUGAGUUCAGAUGAACACCGAAGGGUGCUACUCAAAACUUUGCACGAAGCUUAUGUUCCAAAUGAAACUACUGUUGCACAAUUGGAAAGAAUGGCCGAGAGAUUUUUAGAUGUUAAUAAGAUUUCAUUUAGCCGUGAUGAUUUCCCUGCAGAGGGAGCUGCCCACAACAAAGCCCUCCACUUGACUAAUAAAUAUGAUGGCUACAAUAUGAAAAGGGUGAUGCUUGAUGGCGAGUCUGGAGUAGAUAUUUGUCCCCUCUCAACGCUCCAGAGGAUGGAAAUUGGCACAAAAAGAAUUUGGGCCAACAAUAUAUGUGUGCGAGCUUUCGAUGGGGUUAAGAGGGAUACAAUCAGAGAAAUUGAUCUAGUCUUAACUAUUGGCCUUGUGGACUUUGUGGUGACCUUCCAAUUCUUGGACAUGGAAACCUCGUACAAUUUCCUUCUCGACAGACCAUAGAUUCACGCUGCUGGAGUUGUUCCGUCCACUCUCCAUCAGACGGUCAAUUUUGAGAAUGACAAUCAAGAAAUCGUUGUUCAUGGAGAAGAUAAGCAAUCUAUUUACCGGGACCCCUCAGUCCCAUGUCUUGAAGCCAAGGAGGGCAGUGAGCACAUCCUAUAUCAAGCUUUUGAAAUUGUGGUAGCUGACCAGUUUGAAGAGGGGGGACCACUACCUCAACCUUGUUUGUCUAGUACUUCAAUUAUGAUUGCCACCCAAAUAAUCAAAAAUGGGUACAAGUCCGGAAAGGGGCUCAGGGCAUCUCUAUAGGGCAUUACUAAGCCAAUUUCCCUGGUCGUGAAUGAGAAGCCUUUCGGGUUGGAUUUCCGAGCUACAUCAGCUAACAAAACAUGGGUUGGCAAACGCAAAGAAAACGGGUGGGUCCUGUCACAGCCCAUCCCACAUCUCCCCGGUCAUUUGACAAAUCAAAAUAUAUAGAGGAAGAAGAAGAGGCCUUCACAGCCGAAGACAUAAAUGAUAUUUGCGGAGCUUUAAAACAAAUGUUAUAUGAAACCGACACGGUCCAUCUAGGGGAAGGCACGAGCCGUGAUGAGGUGCAAAACAUGGGACCUAAUUUCAAGCUCCAGAACUGGGAGGCUACCCCAUUCCCCAUCAGGAGGGAAUCCCCGGUAGUUCAGUCUUGCUAUCUUUUCUGCAUUACAAGUUAUUUUAGGGUGUAAAUCUAAAUUCUGAUGAAGAUGAGGCCUUUAGGGAAAUAAAUCAAGAAAUGGAAUAAUUUGAGAACAAGCCUAAACCGAAUUUAAAUGAAAACGAGCCUAUUAAUUUGGGCAGUUCAGAAGAGGCUAGGGAAACAAAGAUAAUCAUUCACAUUGAUGAGAAAACUAGGGAUGCUCUGAUCCAGCUGUUGUUUGAGUUCAAAGGUGUGUUUGCAUGGUCUUACGAUGAUAUGUCUGGGUUGAGUGUUGAUUUGGUAGUAUACAAAUUGCCUACCUAUCCAGUUAUUUGCCCGUCCAAUAGAAGCAAAGAAAGUUCAAAACUAACAUCAGUGAUAAUAUUUAAAAAGAAGUCACAAAACAAUUAAAAGCUGUUGUGAUCCUAGUGGUACGAUACACCACAUGGUUGACUAAUGUGGUACCAGUGCCAAAGAAAGACGGGAAAACCUGAGUUUGUUUUGAUUAUCAGGAUUUGAACAAGGCGAGUCCCAAGGACAACUUUUCAUUGCCAAAUAUCCACAUUUUUGUUGACAAUUGUUCUAAACACGAGAUACAGUCUUUCAUGGAUUGUUAUGCUGGGUAUCACCAGGUUCUGAUGGAUGAAGAAGAUGCAGAAAAGAUUGCUUUUACCACACCUUGGGGAACUUACUAUUACAGGGUCAUGCUAUUUGGUCUGAAAAAUGUCGGGGCAACCUAUAUGAGAGUUAUGACUGCCAUCUUCCACGACAUGAUGCACCACGAGAUUGAGGUAUAUAUGGAUGAUGUGAUCAUUAAAUCAAGAACACAAGAAGGCCAUGUGUGAGAUCUGACGAAACUUGUUGAGAGGUUAUGCAAGUAUUAUUUGAAAUUAAACCCAUCUAAAUGUGCAUUUGGAGUUCCGUCUAGGAAACUCUUCGCUUCUUUUGCUCAAACAACACUGCUGAGUAUGAAGCCUGCAUCAUGGGCAUGAACAUGGUGGUUGAUCUGGAUGCACAAGAGUUAUUAAUCAUGGGGAAUUCUGAUUUAAUUAUCCGGCAAGCCCAAGGCGAGUGGGAAACUCGAGAUAUCAAACUCAUCCCCUAUGAGCAACAUGUGGAAGACCUCAGUAAACAGUUUAAGUCCGUCGAGUUCAAGUAUAUUCCUCGAUUCCAUAAUGAUCUAGCAGAUGCACUAGCUACUUUGGCCUCAAUGUUGUCGUACUCGGCUAAUGCUCAUAUUGACCCAUUGAAAAUUCAGGUUCGAGAAAGGCAUGGUUAUUGUAACGCAAUUGAAAUAGAUCUAGAUGGUGAUCUAUGGUAUCAUGAUAUCAAAAGGUUAUUAAAAACGAAAGAAUAUCUCGAGCAAGCCAGUGGGGAUCAAAAGAGAACUAUCAAAAGGCUUGUAAGAAGUUUCUUUUUGAGUGGGAAAAUCCUAUACAAAAGAACCACAGAUCUGAAUUUGUUGAGAUGUGUAGAUUCCCGAGAAGUUGAUAAGAUCAUGAAUAAAUUGCAUUCCGGAGUAUGUGGCCCCCACAUGAACGGGUAUUUACUGGAAAAGAAAAUCCUCCAGGCGGGUUAUUAUUGGAUGACCAUGAAAAAAGAUUGUUUAAGUUUUGUCCGAAAAUGCCAUUAGUGUCAGAUACACAGUGACCUGAUUCAUUCACCGCCUUAAGAAUUGCAUCCUAUGUCAGUGCCUUAGUCGUUCGUUGCCUGGGGCAUGGAUGUUAUUGGACCAAUCGAGCCGAAAUCUUCAAAUGGGCACAAAUUCAUCUUAGUUGCUAUUGAUUAUUUCACAAAGUGGGUCGAAGCAAUCACUUUCAAAGCCAUCACUAAGAAAGCAGUGUUGGACUUCAUCAAUUCCAAUAUUAUUUGUUGGUUUUGUAGUCAUAAAACUAUCAUUACGGACAAUGCUGCAAAUCUGAACAGCCACUUGAUGAGAGAGGUAUGCGAACAAUUUAAAAUUAUGCAUCAUAAUUCUACCCCUUACCGGCCCAAAGCUAAUGGCGUCGUUGACGCUGCAAACAAGAACAUUAAAAAUAUCCUUAGAAAAAUGGUUCAGGGUUCCAGACAGUGGCAUGAAAAGUUCCUUUUUCACUAUUGGGAUAUCGUACAACCGUGCGCACAUCAGUUGGGGCCACCCCUUACUUAUUGGUUUAUGGCACUGAAGCCGUAAUUCCCGCAGAAGUUGAGAUUCCCUCUCUUCGGAUAUUUGUUGAAGCCGAGAUCGAGGAUGAUGAAUGGGUCAAAACCCGGUUGGAGCAAUUGACUAUGAUUGAUGAAAAGCGCUUGGCCGCGGUUUGCCACGGGCAGUUGUACCAACAAAUAUUGGCCCGUUCCUACAAUAAGAAAGUGUGGCCAAGGAUAUUUGAAGUAGCUCAACUCGUUCUAAAACAUAUUCUCCCACAUCAUGAAGAAGUUAAAGGAAAAUUUGCUCCAAAUUAGAAAGGUCCAUACAUUGUAACAAGAGUGCUGUAAAAGGGAGCAUUGUAUUUGGGAGACAUCGAAGGAAAUGUCCCCGAGAUAGUUGUCAAUGUAGAUGUGAUCAAAAGGUAUUAUGUUUGACCCUUUACGCAAUUUUAACAUUCUCUGAUUGGGAUGACGAAGGCUUCCUUUCUCGCUACCCAAACAUCAUUAACCCUUUUGCAAACCGUUUGAGCCGGUUCUCUUUCUUUGAUUACCAUUUUUGGAACCUGGAAGUUAUUAUUGAAAACCAAAGAAUGAAAAAUGAAAAAAAAAGAAAAAGAAAGAGAACAAAAGAAAGAAGAAAAAAACAAAACAAAAAUCAAAAGAGUUCAUGUUGAUUGAACUACGUUUGACCUGAUUCCGAAAGGAUACGUAGGUAGCCUCACUCUGGGGUUCUGUCACACCAAACAAAAAAUUCAAAUUCCCCCAAAAGUUGAAAUUGGGGCAGCUGUUAUGAUGUUUUGGCGAUGAUGUCACCCGAAAGGUUCCAAAGUUGUAGUUCACUUCAAAAUUCCUUUUUCUCUAAUCCUUUUCAAGUCCUUCCUAUCAAUAAAUGCAAAUGUUCAAGAAUUUGAGGAUACAGUUACUUGGAUCUGAUGUAACAAAAAUGAGAGAAAUAAAAUGAGAGAGUCUUAUUGGUUAAAACCCUCACUAGUGAGUAGAGAAAAUAAAAAUGAGAGUCUUGUUAAGGAAAACCCGUAAAGGGUCACGAUAAGGUGAUGGCGAGAAGAGUAAUGAGAGAGGUCAGCUAGUGAAAACUCACAAAGGGCACUGUUGAUCGAAAAGAGCAUCCACGCAGCCAUGGUAUCAACACAGUCCUGGGCAAGGUUUCUCGGUUCCAUGGCAAAGGUCGUAAUGCGUUUCUGAGAGUCGGACGGUUUACAAAGGUCAGGCAUCCAGUCCAAAAGGCAUGUCAUAUUCAUUGAAGUUCGCAUGUACUCCCAGAUAAGUCUGUCUUUCUGUUCCCCGAAGAAAGGAACACCUUUUGUUUUAAAGUCAUUCUCCAUUCAAUUGUUUGUUUUUCUUUGAAUCCCUUUCGGUGUAAUAUUGUUUUGAAAACUAAGGAAAAGAAGAGAUGGAAAGACUGAUUUACAGGGCUCUUGUUUGACACAAGCUGAUAUAUUCAAAAGGCACUUAGCCUCGGCAAAGGCAUCGAGUCGACCCCGACUGGCCGUGAUUGGCCGAUACUCUAAAUUUGAAAAUGUUGGAAAAAGGACAUAAAAUUGAAAUGCCCACAAAGGAAAAAUGAAGUUGAAAAGGUUAAGUCCCACUUGACUAACCGUCUUGCAAAGUUUGAAAAAUCAAAGGUUCCCCAAUGCUCUGAAAUUGGAACUUUGAAGAAAGAAGUCAAACGUUAAAUGCCCACAAAGGCAAAAAUAAAGUUGGAGAGGUUAAGUCCCGCUACGUGACUAGCUUUCAUGGCAAAAGUUCGAAAAGCCAAAGGUUCUCCGGGGUCAGAAAUGUAGUUGGUAUUCAGAAAAUAACCUGUCGCAGUUGAAAUCAACAAGAAAAUGGGCCGAUAUCAAGAGACUGAAACACUCAAGGCCACAAAACCAACCAACGUUUUAAACUAACAAUUGUUCUUUGUUGAAAAACAGGAAACGGACAAUGCAGGAAAAACCAACCUCCCAAAAAGCAGGUGCCAAUAAAAGUAAAUCCCACGGAGACUAAAAAAUAACUCUCCAACAGUAAAAACUCUCAAAAAGGGAAGUCUUCUAAAAAUUCCUUCCCGCAUUUUACUUAUUCUCUAAAUAAAAUAAUAAAAAAAAGAAAUAAAAAAAGGGAAAAGGAAAUUUCAAAAUCAUGGUAGUAUAGGGUACACCAAUCCCUAGCUAUAUUUUCCAACUUAGGGUACAUCAUUCCUCAGUUGAUGUUUAGAUAUAGAGUACACCACUCCCUAGUCUUUUUUCAGUAUAGGGUACACUAAUCCCUAGCUGUGUUUUCCAACAUAGGGUAUACCACUUCCUAGUUGAUUGAGCUGAAAUGCGGGGUACAUCAUUCCCUGAUAUCAUUCUUUUAGAUAUAGGGUACACCACUCCCUAGCUGUGUUUUUCAACAUAGGGUACACCACUUCCUAGUUGAUUGAACUGAAAUGCAGGGUACAUGAUUCCCUGAUAUCAUUCUUUUAGACAUAGGGUACACCACUCCCUAGUCUUUAUCCAGUAUAGGGUACACCAAUCCCUAGUUGUGUUUUCCAGCAUAGGGUACACUACUCCUUAGUUGAUUGAACUUAAAUGUAGGGUACACUACUCCCUGAUAUCUUUAUUGACAGAGCUUAAAUGCAGAGUACACCACUCCCUGAUAUUAUUCUUUUAGACAUAGGGUACACCACUCCCUAGUCUCAUUAUCAGUAUAGGGUACACCAAUCCCUAGUUGUGUCUUCCAACGUAGGGUACACCACUCCCUAGUUGAUGAUUAUUUUAGACACAAGGUACACUACUUCCUAGUCUCCUUACCAGUAUAGGGUACACCAAUCCCUACAUGUGUCUUCCAACAUAGGGUACACCACUCCCUAGUUGAUGAUAUUUUUAGACAUAGUGUACACCACUCCCUAGUCUCCUUACCAGUAUAGGGUACACCAAUCCCUAGUUGUAUUUUUCAACAUAGGGUACACCACUCCCCAGUUGAGUUGAGCUUAAAUGUAGGGUACAUCACUUCCUGAUAUUAUUCCUAGACAUAGGAUACACCACUCCAUAGUCUCCUUACCAGUAUAGGGUACACAAAUCCCUAGUUAUGUUUUCCAACAUAGGGUGCACCACUCCCUAGUUGAGUUGAGCUUAGGCAUAGUGUACACCCUUCCCUGAUAUAAUUCCUAGACAUAGGGUACACCACUCCCUAGUCUCCUUACCAGUUUAGGGCACACCAAUCCCUAGCUGUAUUUUUCCAACAUAGGGUACACCACUCCCUAGUUGAGUUGAGCUUAAACGCAGGGUACACCACUCCCUGAUAUUGUUACCAGUUGACCUUAAAUGCAGGGUAUAUCACUCCAUGAUAUUAUUAUUAUUUGAUUGUGCUAAAAUGCAGGGUACACCAUUCUCUGAUAUCAUUCCAAAUAUAGGGUACACGAUUUUCUAGUUUUUACCAGUGUAGGGUACACCAAUCCCUAGUUGUGUUUUGAAACAUAGGGUUACACAACUCCCUGAUAUCUUGCCAAUAUAGUGUAUACCAUUCCCCGACUGCAUUUUCCCAACAUAAGAUAUACCAAUCCUUAGUUGAGGCAUCAUUUUGACAGUAAGGAAACACCAUCUAAAAAAAAAUAUAAUAACUCACGAAAUUUUUCUAGUAAAAACUAAGGCAGAAAAAUUUUGUUUGUUUGUUUGUUUUGGUGUCUGAGCAGCUUUUACCUCGAGGCACAGAGUUUGAAAUGACCCAAAAGAAGAAGUCUCAAUCUAGAAUAAAGAAAAAAAAGUGAACCCACAAUGUAGAAGGGGAUGAAAAGAUGUUGACUGCCCAAGACAUGAUUGAAGUCACGAGCAUUGCAUUUUCCUUUUUGAUCAGAAGAAGCCAUAGAAGAAUGAACUAGCACCUACAACUAGCAAGCAUCAAGAUUGAGAUCAGGGUCUGCAUGAAGAACCAGUCAAGACUCAAGAUCAAGUUUCAGAAGACUUAUAGAUAGGAAUCUUGUAACUCAUAGCUAGUAGGAUUGUUUAGUUUCUCUUGAUUUUGAUUAUGGUGUAAUAAGGAGUUCAUCAAGCAGUAACAACAGAAACAACAGUGAAAUCACAACUCUUUGUUAGUCCCAGCUACCAAACUUCCAGAACUACACUGACCUGAUUCCUUUAUAGCCAAGGAUAUGUAGGCAACAUCGAAGCAAUGUUCGGUCACACUUCUUCAAAAUGCUUCCCAUGGAGUAUCAAACGGGCAAAAAUUGCUCAUAAUUGCUCACUUUAUCUUUGUCCAAAAACUCUUCAUGUUUUCGAGCAAAGAGGGGUAGCUGUGAGCACGUAAUUUUUGUCCCGUGUAUAAAUUACUCCUAAAAUCAAACCAAAUAUAGGUUUAAUUGCUUUAUAGAAUUUUAUGAAAAUUUUCUCUAUUUUUAAUUGAUUUGUUUGGUAUUUAUUUGCAUCUUCAUGCAUUUAGAAAUACUUAAAAUUCAUUAUAAAAAAGGGCCAAAAAUAUUUUGUAUCUUAUUCAUUACAUUUUUAUAUUUUUAUUGCAUCAUUAGCAUCUAGUUGCAUGUUAGUUGCAUUCAUAAAAAUAAAAAUCACGAAAAAUACAUUAGUCGCUUUGCCGUUGUUUUGCAUUCUUAGAAUUAAUUAAUUAGUUAAUUAGUUAUUUAUUCAAUCUUUAUUUAAAAUUAGUAAAUAGGUUAAGAGACCAUUUGGAUGGGCUUAUUUUAAGUGACUUUUAAGCCAAAAUAGCUUUUAACCCAUAAGUUAGGAAUUCUAGUUUUUGGCUUUUUGCAUAUUUUUGUCAUUUUUGUUUAAAAAUAAGUACUUAAAAAUAUUUUUUACUUUAUCCAAACACUACAAAAUGGAUUAAAGGCAAUUUUGACUUAAACGCACUUAAAAUAAGCCAAUCCAAACGGGCUCUAAGUUUGUAAUUUGAGUUUUAAAUGUUAAGUUAGUUUGAUUAGUGGCUAAAUACAAAAUGAAGAGAAAGAGCUUAAGGCUUUUUUGAGUUCAAUUGAGACUAGGCCACAAUUUUCUGAAGCCCAAUUGCUCAAAAUACGCCCAAACCCGCUCCCAUACCCGGUCCAAUACCUGACCCCUAAGACGUCUCAAACGGCGUAGUUCUAUAACCAAACUACAUCGUUUUGCUGAUUGGAUCCCUUUUAAUAAAAUACCCCUUUAAAGAUCUGAUUUUUAUUUUUCUUCAAACCCUACCCCCAAAUGUCCUCUUCCAAUUUCUAGAAUCCUGGGCGGCCGAAUAUCGCCUCCGCCACCCAUCCGCCACCGUUGACCACCGUCUAACCACCGCCGAAAAUCGUCCCAUGAUGGUUGGCCACCCCUAUCAACCCCAAUUUUCACUCUACAAUCGUCACCCCUUCCUCAUCCUUAUUCCAUCAACUAUUUCUUCAAAAUCUAUCCAAACUCCACAAUUUGACGGCAAACAGUAUUGAUAGGUAAUCUCUGCCCCUAUGUUUCAUUUAGUGUAGAUUAAUGGUCGCCCUUGUUCGAUUUCGGUUCGCCUUUAAUUUUAUUCGCUAUGUUUUAGUUAGUUAGUGAUACUUGCACGAUUAGAGUAAUAGUUAAUUACAUGCUUAAAUUAGUUUACUUGAAUUUUUAGGUAAUUAAUGUUUAAGUAUAAUUUGUUGCUUAGUUUGAAUCUGCAUUUGUUAAUGUGUGGCUUUUUAUUUGGUUUUGGGCUUGUCUUGUUUGAUAGACAUGCCCAUUAUGGGUAAAGUCCAAUAGGGAAAUAGUACUCAUGGGCCUUGAUCUCGUCCAAUUUCACGCCUCAAAUCAAGGUUAUGAAACGGUCGAUUGCAAUAAUAGUACCCAACAAGAGUCGGGAUCGAUUUUCACAGGGAGCUAUAUAUGGGAGUUAGGAGUAUAUAUUGUAGUAUGUGAGUUUGACUAUCUCAAUUUACACUUCCACAAAUUUGGGUUGUUUCUAUGUCUUAUUUAAAACUAAGAUUGCAAAGUUAAGAAAUAAAACUAAUAGAAUUAUUUUUGUUGUUUUUCAAGUUUUGUAAAAAAUCCUAGGGCUAUGACCAUCACCUAGGUAUUUGCCUUAUGGGAUAUAGACCUUAAUGCUUGUUUUAUUGAUCGGGAUGUAUUGUAGCUAUCAACUCUCAAUUACCCACCCAAUACCUCUCGUUCAAAUAGUGAUUUUGCCCAAUUUGGCUUUCUCAAGUCCAAAUGGGUAUUGCACAAAAUGGUUGAUAAAAGCUCAUGUCGGGUUAUUACUAUCUCUAGGUUGAACCCUUUAAUUGGGAUUAUCAAUCUUUCGAUUGACCCAAUUUCUUAUUAGCCAAGUUGUCCUAGACUAAGUCUCUCUUUCUCAAGUAGAGACUAAGUCAAAUAUGCAUGAACUAACGUUUGCAAUCAUUAAUUCCAUAAAUUAAAGUAUGAACAAGGCAAAAUAAUAAACACCCAACCAUAAACAAGCAUCAAAUUAAACACCCAUAAGGUUUACACACUAGGGUUGGGUCACAACCCUAGUAAACAUCUAGCUACUCAUGCUUGAAAUUGAAGAAAUAAAAGAAGAAAUGAUAAAUAAACUCAUAUUGUGAAACCAGAAUGAUAAAAUCUAUGUUAAAAUAUCCCAAAAUAUGAAAAAUUACUAAAAGAAGUAAAAAGAAAUGGCUACUGUAGCUGCUGAUGUCAAACGUUCACCUAAAAUUGUGAAACUCGUCUAUUUAUACAGGGCUAGAAAUUUCGGACAAAUAUGCCCUUCGAGAGAGAUUUCUUCAAUCUUGCCCUUUGAGAAGGCAUCCUUUCUGUGGUCCGCACUUUUAUAUCUGCGGUCGCAACUGGGUCUUCUGCGGUCCGCACUUUUACACCUGCGGCUGCAAGGCACUUCUUCUGCGGCCGCACAAUUCCUGUGCGGUUCACACUUCUGAGGGGCUUGAAAUGCACAUUCUCUGAACUUUGUUCCUAGCCAUCGUUUGCGGCCGCACAAUUCAUGUGCGGACCGCACUUUGCACAAAGGUCUUCCGGCCUUUCCUUCAUCAUCUACAGCCGCAGAUGAUAUUUUGUGGUCCGCACUUGUGAGCUUUUGUGCCUUUUAUGGCCUUAAAUUUAGAUUACUCCUUUUUGAGUUGGAUUUCAUCUCGGGAGUCCAUCUUCCAAUAUUCUUGCAAUUUAGCAUAUUUCAUCAGUUUUCGAGAACACAAUUAAACUCUUUUGGACUAAAAUAAAAGCUAAAAGGCGUUAAUGAAUAGUCAAAAUCCUCACUUAUCAACUCCCCCAAACUUAAGUUUUUGCUUGUCCUCAAGCAAAUAGAUUAGUUCCCACCUCCACAUGUUAAGGGCCAUUCCAGCUAAUCAAAAGUGAGUAAUUCACACAUUAAUUGGGAUCAACAAUUACCCACGCCACUUAUUUAUUAUCAACAAGGCAACAAGUUAAAAUUUUAUGCACAUAUAGUUCUAAUAUGACACUUGAGCAUCAAGAGUUGAAUUUAUUCAUCAAGGAAGCUCGCUCUUUCAUGUAGGUCAUUGUGGAUCCCAAACUCCUCCUCCUGUACUCUCCGUUUGCCUAUCUUGCUUAAGAAUUUUAGCACUUAAUCCAAAUAUUUGUGAAAGGUUCACUCAUCUCUCUCAAAAUAAUAUCGUAAGUACGGCUUUAAGUACCAUAGGCUUGCCCCUCAUGUAGAUCGUCACUAAUGUAAGCUCACUCGGCUUGAGAUCACGUAGGGCUUUUUAGGAAUGCAAUGAAAGCUUUUGGACUAAGGUUGGAUAUGCUAUGAUAGAGUGGGUUCAUCUUUCCUUAAGCACUCUAUUUUCUGUUCUCGGCUCAUGCCUUGCCAAUUCUUUGAGGCAUUUUAUUUUCCUUGGGGGGACUAGAGAUACUUAGCAUCACUCUUUCUUUAUGAUGACAUUCAUUUUUCUCUCUUUGAUUUCUCCACGCUUUGCAUCAUUACUUUUCUUUGAAUCCCAUCAACUCUUCCACUUAUUCACUUUAUUUUUGCAUUUUUCUUUUUAUUCUUUCCUUUUCUUGCCUUUCCUUCUCUUCAUUAUUUUUGUUCCUUGAUACCUCUUUCAAGUUCCUCAUCUCUCCCCCAAACUUACGUUUUUAGCCAAUUGUUUCACAAGAGUGUUAAGGAAAUCUCGGGUGCCAAGAGAGGGUCACGACAAAACGGGCAUAGGCUUGUAACAUGGUUAUCAACUAAGAAAGGUUCGAGGCUCAAAUAGGUUGACUAGGGAUAACAACAUUGGUGGGCAAUGAAAAACUUCAAGGGGGUCAAGUAGAUCCUGCAAUCACUUCUCAAGCCAAGCAACACUUAAGAUUUCGUCUUGAAACACAUUCGGGGCAAGUUCUAGACCAUUCGCACGAGUACUUAGACUUGCAAUAAAAACAUCUCACCUCUCACGCAGCUGGAUUGUUAAAAAGGAUAGAGUCGAGGGCCCACAACGAACAUAUUCAAGAUUGAAAAUCACUCUGGUUCGAUUAAACCACUCGUUGAUUGCCUAAGUCAACACAAGAGUCACAAGGUCACUAACUAGAGCUAUUUAUUUUCAAAAACCUUGUUUUUAACCAUAAGCAUGUAGUUAAGUGUGUUGGUACCAAGUGAAUCAUGUUUGACUCUUCGAGCAUGACUUAAUUAGGUCUUUUUAUUCAUUACUACUACUAUUAUUGUUACACCCCAUAUUUUCGUACGUGAGAGUACAUCAUAAGUCAAUUGAUGUAAGACCAGAAAUGAUAUCAUCUUUGAAAGUAUAAAAUGUAAGUUAAUCAUGUUACCUUGGAGGUUACAAAUCUUUAAGAUCAUGGAUAACAACUACCAAGAGGGCUGAAAGGCUUAGGAGCUAAGCAAAUUAAAGAAAAUAAGUUUCGUUGAAUAUCAACAAGUUGGGAAUGUUAUAACAUGUACUUUUGGAGUGAUACUAGGGUUCUUAACGUGAUACGGAGGUCAUGUUAUGAGUUAUUUUAGUCGUAUGAUAGUCAUGUGUUAUAUUUUGAAGUCAAGCGAGUUUUGGAUCAAAAGUUGGUAAAGGUCAUCACAAGUUAUAUUCAUAAUGUGCUGAAUAUUAGGUCAAAUGUAGCAGAGCUUUUCUCCUAAUAUACUUAGAAUUACAGGAUGAUCCAUAUACCAAAUUGAAUAUCUACGAGUCUAGUUUCUAACACAUUAAACCGUUUGUCGAUCCGACAUCGGAGCAGAGAGAUAUUUGUCAUUCCGCGAGACUGCACAAACUGCAUAGGUGACAAGUAGGUGGGUCACUAAAGCUUUUUGAGCUAUACCUUUCGUGUAUUAUAUGAGGUCUUUUUGGGACAUAUUAUAUACCAAAUUGAAGUUCUAGUAAUGUAGUUUCAAACACUUUUAAGUAUUCAUUCAUACGACAUCCGGAUAAAAAGAUAUAAGCGUUGGAAAAGGGCCAAUGCUAGGGUGCCAAGUAGCACCUUUUUGACUUUUCAACAAAUUGGAUAUUUAUAUCCCAAUGUCGUCUCUUUCUUCAUUUUCCCAGAGACCACGACCAAAUAAGACCCAUAAACUUACCCUUAAGCUCUUUACAAGGGUUUCAAAGAAGAUUAACAUCCCGGGUACGAAAUCAAGAAGCGAUAACAUUAGAACGAUCCCUACGACGUAAUUAUCGCUAUAUCACCUCUCUUUUUCUUUGUAGUUUGAGUUUUGGAAGGUAUUUAAUAGUUAAGAAAAUGCCUAAUUUCUGUAUUUAAGAUUUUAAAUAUCAAGAAAGGUUGAUUCGUUUCCUAAUAGUUAGAACUCACGAGACGAUGAUCGGAAGCCAUGAGUUCGAGUUAUUCGACUUGUAGUGGACUGUUUUGUGGGUUGUUUUGUGUUAUUUUUGGGUUGUCUAUUUUGCUACUAUUUAGUGGAGUUUUGGAGGGAAAAUGGUGUGAAGAAACACCACAAAUUGAGAAAUGGUGGAUUAGUCGUUCUUUGUAAUAUUUUCGGGGUGUUUGACACUACUAUAGUUGUCGUUUUGAGUAUGAAGUGAUUGGGAUGUGUUGGGCUGUUGUAAGCUAAAUAUAACAUGUAUUUAGACUUGAAUCCACUGUAGGAGAUAAUUAUAUUGUGUUAUUUAUUAAGUUAAAUGGAUGGGCUAGACAUGAACUAGUGAAUACAGUUACUAAUUGAGGAUAGUUGGAGUUAUGGAUUAUUUUCUUUGUUAUAAAUAUAUGGUAUAAAGAUGGAAUCAUUGAUGAAUGACUUCAUUAUCAUGUUAAUGAUACUUUUAAGUUAAAUUAAAAAGUCUAUAAGGGGUGAUAUGGGGUAUACAGGUUUCAAUCGGAGCUUGCCGCUCGUCAUGAAGUAGUUGUGACUUGUUGUUAUUAUAUGGUGUCUUGUUAUUGAUAAUUAUGUAUUGCUGGAUUGCUAUGGCCAUUAUUUUUGGUAUAUGGUAUUGGAUGAGGCUCUUGUUAUAGGGUAUAUGCUUCCCAAAUUUACAUAAGCGAGCUACUAAUUUAAGUUGCGGACUUAGCCUUUACUCUACACUGAUUUUGAUUCUCUUUAUGCUAUGGUAGAUUGAGUUGAGUUGUUUGAAGAAUUGCCUGGAAGGUAUUAAGGACUCAAUGGAGUUAAGGUAUGUUAAGGUAAUCCCUUCUUUCCUUUUGUCAUGAUCCAUAUGAUUCAACGAAAUGAGCAAGCACGCAACUUUCACAAAUGAUUCUAUUCCUAGAAGUAAUAGGGUUUCAUAUGUUCUUUAUUCCCCAUAUGUCCUACUAUCAUAUCGUCUGUUCAUGGGUCUCAUGAAAUUCCGAGAGAUCUUAUUAACUUACUUCAUUAUGCAUUACAUUCAUUUAUACAUGUAUAUUGACCCAUAUAGUAUAUGUAUAUGGGGUAUAGGGAAAUGUUAUGGCGUUAUAUACGCACCACCACCUGAUCAGCUGGUCUACGUUGAUGAUUUCACCCACAGAGGCCGAGAUGAUAUGAUGGGAUGCCCUCAUGGGCUUAAUGAUAUUAUGUAAGCACAUACCUAUGCAUGAUGUGACAUUUAUACACAUAUGCAUGAAAUUAUAAAUGUUUCAUGAUUCACAGAGCUAUUCAGACUUACAGGUUAAGUUCUUUACUCCAUGUUUCUUUCAUGUCUUUUAUAUACUGCUUUCAUGCCUAACAUACUCGGUACUUUAUUUGUACUGACAUCCCUUUUUUCCUGGGGACGUUGUGUUUCAUGCCCGUAGGUCCCGAUAGACAGAUUGAGAGUCCUCCUAGUAGGCUAUCAGCUCAGCGAAAGGUGUUGAUGCACUCCACUUGCUCCGGAGAUGCCUAUUUGGUCAGUAUGAUUUGGACAUGUAUUAAUUGGUAUGGCAGGACCCUAUCCCAAUCUUUAUGAUAUUUAUGUACUCUUAAAGGCUUGUAGACAGAUGUCAUGUUUAUGGAUACUUGUAUGGCCUUGUCGGCCUAUGUUUUGAGUGUACAAAUGAUCAGUGCCGGCCUUNNNNNNNNNNNNNNNNNNNNNNNNNUGAUGGUAUGAUAAAAAAAUAUACGUUACAUUGGUGCUCGAUUAGGUAAGGCACUGGGUGCCCGUCGCGGCCCAUCGGUUUGGGUCGUGACAAUUAUUACCUAAACACGAAAAACAGACUCAAUCCCUUAAGAAGGUUGUCACACCAUCCAUCGUUGGGAAGAGUCACCUGGUUCACACAAAAAUUACCUUUGGAAAGAAUCGUGCCAUUAAGAAAACCAAAGGCUUAUUAUCCACUAAAACAUAAAAAAGCUAUUAAAUCAAAAAGAAGCUACCUAGUUAAACACUAACUAAUAAGAAAUCAAACAUAAAGAAACUACAAAGCAAAAACUAUUGAAAGCGUAACGAAUAUAUAUAAUGAGAGAGAAGAGAAUAUAUAUACAUAAUGAGAAAGAAGAAGAAAAUAGUAUCAAGUUAAUUACAGGCCAAAUAUUUCAGAAUCAUCAAAAUAUAUCAAAUAAACUCUACCCCCCCCCCCGAAAUAAGAAUAAGCAUUGUCCCCAAUGCGUAAAAAUAAGAGUAAAGGAAGGGUAAGAGUGAAGAAAACUCCAUAUGGCUCAUUGGCCAUCUCUUUUUCCACAACAGUAUCACCGACCUCAGCCUCAUCCAACUGGAUCUCAUCAUCCUCAACUCCGGGAGUGGCUGGGUUGGUGAACAUCUGACGUACUACCUCGGCAGUGUCAGCAGCAAAGUUUGGCUCCUCAGACUGGCCAACUGGUGUUAUAUGUGCUGUAGGAUCUGGGCUUGGAUGGUGCUAGUCAAUCAACAUGUCAAAUGGAAUGUCUACGGCUACUGCAAACAAGGUAACCUGUCUCCGGAGCUUGUCCACUGAUUUCUUGGAGGCCUGGGACUUCUGCAUCUUCUGCAUUUCCUUUCCCAUCUCUUCUAUCAAUGACCCAUGUUGCACCAAAGUGGCCAUGAUUGUGUUCUGAUUCUCCAAGAGCUUCUUCAGAGUUUCUUCAACCGUUGGGGGAAUCUGGGGUGCCAUAAUGGAUGAUUGUACUGCAACAUUACUGGAUAUGUGAGACCGCUUUGCAGUAGCUGUCUGCAUCCAGUUGUUGAGGCUCGCCAAUGUCGGGGUAUUGUUGAGGCUCACCAAUCUCUUCUAUCAAUGACCCAUGUUGCACCAAAGUGGCCAUGAUUGUGUUCUGAUUCUCCAAGAGCAUCUAGUUGUUGAGGCUCGCCAAUGUCUGGGAGACUCGCACCGGCUUCAAAGUCGAGGUGGAAGACACUGAGGCUGAAAGUGGGGGCAUAGUUGUUGCACAGGCUGAAGGCUCUGCUGAAGUGGAUGGCAUGUUGGUUGUCUCUGCAGCUACCACCAUUGGCUCAUCAUACUAGCCUAUGGUGGUAGUCGGCUGACCCUUUUCUUAGGGUUGUGUGCAUCCAUCAGAGAAUACGAUGAGAAGGGCUUCUUUUGCCUGAACCUUUGUAUCAAAAUCUCUCGGCUCUACCCGUGCAUCCAUAAGAUACUCAGUAAUGGUGUAGGGAUACGGGUAGGAGGUAUCAGCUUGCCUGGCGACCAUAUAUAUGUUGGCCGACAUCACGGCACCCAUAUUGAUCGGGUACCCGGCCAUGAUGGAGGCGACUAGAACUGCCCGCAGGAUAGGAAGACUUGUUUCAUUUUGGUACGGGUCUAAUCUACUACAGACAAAUGCCUGCCAUCCCUUCACCUCAAAUUUUAGGGUGUUCGUCUGAAUAGGAACCCCUAUUGUGAUCCAUGGUGGUGGUGGCCCCAGAGCUCUAAGAAUCUCAGCUAGCCAUGGGCGAGUUGCAUCUCCCAUUGCCAACUUCUCCAAGAACUGUACAAGCUCAACAUCAUCAAUCCCCAAUUAGGUGUUCAAUGUGUGCUGGUCAAAAGGCACCUUCAGAUUCUUCACUUUAGUUACUUUUGUCCCUUUCUUUAUGUGCGCCAUAUUGGCGUAGAACUCCCGGACAAGAUAUUCUUUUGCAUCCAAUACGCUCUAGGUGAACCACAUCCACCCCUUCCGCUCUUGGAACUACCUCAAGACUGCAAGAUUGUACUUUUCAAGUUCUUUCAGCUGAAACUGUUGCUCAAGAGUGAGCGAUCUCACUGGCCACCAUCCACGAAAACUUGUGAAGGCAGCCAGACUGACGAACCGGUCCUCCCAGACCUCUUUCUUCUUCGACCGCUCAAGUCCGGCAAUUGUAGUAUCUCCCCCUCAUCCAUCAUUUGAAAUAUCAUCAACUGUAGUCGUUGGUGCCUCAGGGACAGGUGUAGAGAAGAGCUCAGAAGACUAACUGGCACUCUCCGAACCCUUAGAGGUGCUAUGUGAUGUGGAAGGCUCGUCCCGGAGUUGAUACCUUCCUGGUGGCUUUGAUUGGACAGCCGGCUACUCUUGAACUAAGUUGCCCUCCGAUGCUUCCCUAGAUGGGGCAUAACAACUGGAUUCAGAGGGCUCUGCAUUUCUUCCUGGGCUGGCUGUAGCAUUCUUUGUGAUUAUCUUUUGGAGGGCGAGGGGUAAAGUACUUUUGCCUCAGCCCCUGGAAGGUUGACCCCUUCCCUUUGAAGUAUCUCCUCUGCCUCGAGAUCUAACCAUUUUAUGUAAUAAGCAACAUCAUGUGUCAGUAGUAAUUCAAGCGUAAAUGUACAAGAACACACCAGAGAGACAGUGAACAACAUAGUGUAAAACAUGCUUGCAGGGUAAGGGAGUGUGGUCCGCAGAAUUAGAAGUGCGGCCGCAGGCUGGGCAUUGCGGAACGCACAAUUUAAUCUUGCACCCACAGAAUUGGAUUGCGGUCUGCACAAUUGCCAGUCCGAACGUAGAAUUGAAUUGCGAUCCGCACAAUUUCUAUUAUGGCCGCAGAUGAGAGUGAUCAAAUUGACAACUCUCUGAUAACAUAAAACUAGUCGUUCUGCGGUCGCGAUGGGAUUUUUUCGGUCCGCACAAUUUUAAGUGCGGCCGUAGAAUCAUGCUUGACCAAAGUCCCUAAUCUCAACUUCUGAGGACCGCACAAUUUCUUGUGCAGCCGCAGAUUUCAAAAUAAAUACGAUCAGAGAUUCUGGGGUUUGCAAUUGUUUGCACAAAUUUGACAUGGUGGCAUUAUAUAAUCAUGAAAAACUGUUUACCCAUUCCCCAUACAGCAAGUACUAGUUGACCCACUACAUAUUCACCCCAAAAGAUUGUUCAAAUAGUUUCACUUACAAAUGGUUCACAAUUUUGCUAAAAAUCUAAAAAUUAAAAGAAAUUAAUCAAGAUGAUGAUGCAUACCAGAGAUGAAUUUGUGCAAGAGAUGAGUGAUCAACAAUUGUUAGGAUUGUGAUCAGCUAAUUUAACACGAAAUUGUGAUUUUAACACUUUGUGAGCUCAUAGAGGGAAAAAGAGGAACAGUGCCCAUCAACCCUUAUUUAUAGUGAAGAAGUUCUGGAAGGUGAAGGGGAGGUGAGUGUGGCCGCAGAAUUUCUACUGUGGUCCGCACUCUUUUUCCUGGGGCUUAGAAGCCAUUGUUGAUUUGCGGUCCGCAAAAUAAGCUGUGCGGCCGCAGAUUUAUUUAUGGUCCGCAGAAUAUGGGUUGCGGCUGCCGAUUGGCUAUUUCUCUGACAAACCAACUUUAGAGAGUUGGAAUUUUUCCUUUUCAAUUUGUCCGGUCCGCACUACAAUUGUGCGGCCAUAGUUCGCCUUUUGUUGUAGCAACCAAAAUUGUGCGGUCUGCACAAUACACUUACGGUCCGCAUUUUGUUCCACACUUAGCCAAAUUCUGGGCAGAAUUCCUGUAGAGAACACUCAUUCCUGCAACACAUUUCAAAUUCAGUUAGCACAAAAAUAACACCUAACUAUAAAAGAAGAAAAUAAAAUAAAAUAAAAAUAAACAUGGGUUGCCUCCCAAGAAGCGCCCGAUUUAACAUUGUGGCACAACACAGAUUACCAUCAUUUGAAAUGAAUAACUGCCACCACGUGGCCAUCAUCAACAUUUCCCAAAUAAUGCUUCACCUGGUGACCAUUGACUCGGAAUACCUCAUCAUUUUUGUUCUUCAAGUCCAAUGCACCAAAAGGUGUCACACCCACAAUUUCAAAGGGACCACUUCAUUUAGAUUUUAGCUUUUCGGGAAACAUCUUCAAUCGUGAGUUGAACAACAAAACAAGAUCGCCCACCUUGAACUCCUUGUGCCGAAUGUAUUUGUCAUGAAGGUACUUCAUCUUCUCUUUGUACAAGGACGAACUUGCAUAUGCGUAGUACCGGAACUCAUCCAAUUCAUUCAAAUGUGAAACCCGCAAGUUAGCGGUUAUAUCCCAAUCAAGAUUCAACUUCUUUAAAGCCCACAUAGCUUUAUGUUCAAGUUCCACCAGAAGAUGACAAGCUUUGCCAAACACCAACCGGUAUGGAGACAUCCGGAUAUGAGUUUUGAAAGAAGUCCGAUAAGCCCAUAGUGCAUCAUCAAGCUUCUUUGACCAAUCCGUCCGGUUAGCAUUCACUGUUUUUGACAAGAUACUCUUUAUCUCCCGGUUGGAGACUUCCACUUGACCGUUAGCUUGUGGAUGAUAAGGACUCGUAACUUUAUGAGUGACACCAUACUUUCUAAGCAAAGUGUCAAAAGACAUGUUGCAAAAAUGCGACCCCCAUCGCUUAUGAUAGCCCACAGAAUACCAAAUCUUGUGAAAAUAUUUUUCUUCAAGAACGCCACUACACUUCUCGUUUCAUUGUUGGGUAGAGCAGUGGCCUCAACCCAUUUAGACACAUAAUCAACUGUGACCAAGAUGUAAGUGUUUCCAUAAGAACUCACAAAAGGACCCAUGAAGUCAAUACCCCUCACAUUAAAGAUAUCAAUCUCCAAAAUGGUAGUGAGAGGUAAUUCAUUCUUAUUCGAGAUUCCACUGGCCCGUUGGCAUUCAUCACAUCUUUUCACCAUAUCAUUUGCAUCUUUGUAAAGAGUGGGCCAAUAGAAACCGCAACUUAGAACUUUGGCCGUCGUUCUUGCUCCGCCGUGGUGACCACCAUAAGGCGAAGAAUGGCAUUUUUCUCUUCGUCCGGUAUACAUCUUCUUAUUACCCCAUCCGUGCAAAUCCGAAAAAGGUAUGGCUCAUCCCAAUAAUAAUCUUGACAAUCCCGUUUGAGCUUCUUCCUUUGAUUUGAAGAGAACUCAUCCGGGAUGAUUUCACACACAAGGAAGUUUGCUAGAUCCGCGAACCAUGGCACCUCCUUCAUUGAAAUAGCCAAGAGUUGCUCAUCGGAGAAGGAGUCAUUGAUUUCAAGGCCAUCAUGUGGCCUCAUCUCCUCCUCUAAAUGAGACAAGUGGUCCACCACUUGAUUUUUACUCCCUUUUCGAUAUUGGAUGUCAAUAUCAAACUCUUGCAACAAUAGCACACAUCUCAUUAACCGAGAUUUUGAAUCUUUCUUGCUCAUAAGAUAACAAAGUGACACAUGAUCCGUAUGAAUAAUAACCUUUGCACCCAUCAAGUAUGGGCAAAACUUCUCAAUUGCAAACACAAUGGAAAGGAGCUCUUUAUCUGUAACAGCAUAAUUGACUUGGGAAUGAUUCAUGGUCUUACUAGCAUAGUAGACCGGAUGAAAAACCUUGUUGAUGAGUUGCCCCAAAACUGCUCCAACCUCUACAUCACUGGCAUCACACAUGAGCUCAAAAGGAAUACUCCAAUUAGGAGCGGUGAUAAUGGGAGUGAUUGUCAACUUGAACUUUAGAAAUUCAAAGGCUCUCAUGCAAUCAUCAUUGAAGUAAAAUUUGGCAUCUUUCUCUAAGAGCUUGCAAAAUGGGUUCACCACUUUAGAGAAAUCCUUUAUGAAGCAUCGGUAGAACCCCGCAUGACCCAAGAAACUUCGCACGCCUUUCACUGAGGUUGGAGGUGAAAGUUUAGAAAUCACCUCUAUCUUUCCCUUGUCGACCUCUAUGCCAUUCUUUGAAAUUUUGUGACCAAGGACAAUGCCUUCCUCGACCAUGAAAUGGCAUUUCUCCCAGUUUAGCAACAAGUUCGUUUUUUCACAUCUUGCCAAUACUCUAUCCAAAUUUGCCAAGCAAUCAUCAAAAGAAUCCCCGACCACCAAGAAGUAUUCCAUGAAGAGUUCAAGGUAGUCCUCGACCAUAUCCGUAAAGUUUGCCAUCAUACACCUUUGAAAAGUCGUCGGUGCAUUACAUAAGCCGAAUGGUAUCCGCUUGAAAGUGAAAGUACCAUAGGGACAUGUGAAAGUUAUUUUCUCUUGAUCUUCCGGAUCAAUAAGGAUUUGGUUGUAGCCUGAAUAUCCAUCUAGAAAGCAAUAGAAAGCAUGGCUGGCCAAUGGAUCAAGCAUUUAGUCAAGGAAGGGAAGUGGAAAAUGGUCUUUCCUCGUGACUUUGUUUAGCUUGUGAUAGUCCAUACACACUCUCCACCUGGUCAUCGUUCUUGUGGGAAUCAACUCGUUCUUGUCAUUGGUGACCACUAUCAUGCCCCCUUCUUUGGGACACAUUGUACCGGAGAAGUCCACAAACUAUUUGAAAUGGGGUAGACACCCCCGGCAUCCAACCAUUUGAUAAUCUCCUUUUUUACCAUAUCUUGCAUAGCUUCGUUGAGUCUUCUUUGAUGUUCAAUAGAUGGUUUCACAUCUUCCUCUAAUUUAAUCUUGUGCAUGCAAAAGGCGGGGCUUAUUCCCCGAAUAUCCAUCAAAGUCCACCCAAUAGCCUUCUUCCUCUUGUGGAGCAUCGCCAAUGUAGAGUCAACCUGCACGUUAGUCAAAAAAGUGGAAAUAAUAAUCGGUAAUGUAGAACAAGGACCAAGAAAUUCAUACCAAAGAUGUGGAGGCAAUGGCUUCAACUCCAAGGUAGGAGGCUCUUCAAUUGAAGGCUUUGUAGGAGUAGUUUUCCUAUUUUCAAGAUCCAAGGAAAGUUUUCGAGGUGCAUAGUUGUACGACCCUAUUCCUUGCAAAGAAUUCNNNNNNNNNNNNNNNNNNNNNNNNNNNNNNNNNNNNNNNNNNNNNNNNNNNNNNNNNNNNNNNNNNNNNNNNNNNNNNNNNNNNNNNNNNNNNNNNNNNNNNNNNNNNNNNNNNNNNNNNNNNNNNNNNNNNNNNNNNNNNNNNNNNNNNNNNNNNNNNNNNNNNNNNNNNNNNNNNNNNNNNNNNNNNNNNNNNNNNNNNNNNNNNNNNNNNNNNNNNNNNNNNNNNNNNNNNNNNNNNNNNNNNNNNNNNNNNNNNNNNNNNNNNNNNNNNNNNNNNNNNNNNNNNNNNNNNNNNNNNNNNNNNNNNNNNNNNNNNNNNNNNNNNNNNNNNNNNNNNNNNNNNNNNNNNNNNNNNCCCACAUUAAUCAUGGCACUUGUAUCAUCAAUAAUCACAUCGAUCACCAAGUCCACGAAAGAACAUAUUUCAUUGCUAUUUGGUUGCCGCAUAGAUUUGCACACGUGGAAUACCACCUUCUCAUCACCCACCAAGAAAGUGAGUUCACGAGCUUCCACAUCAACAAGAGCCUUCCAUGUAGCAAAGAAAGGUCUUCCAAGAAUAAUCGGUACCUCAUAGUCCACUUCACAAUCAAGAUUAACAAAAUCCACCGGAAGAAUGAACUUAUCAACACGAACUAAUACAUCUUCAAUCACUCCCAAUGGUUUCUUCAUUGUACGAUCGGCCAUUUGUAAUCUCAUAGAUGUGGGUCUUGGUUGCCCAAUUCCCAAAGUCUUGAAAAUCGAAUAGGGCAUCAAAUUGAUACUCGCCCCAAGAUCACAAAGAGUUUUAGCAAACUCGGCAAUUCCAAUGGUACAAGGGAUUGUGAAAGCACCGAGAUCUUCAAAUUUAGGAGCCAUCGAAUGCACAAUUGCACUCACUUGAUGAGUGACUUUGAUAGUUUCAAAAUUCAUCCACCGCUUCUUUGUCACCAAGUCUUUCAUAAACUUUGCAUAACCAUGCAUUUUCUCCAAGGCUUCAACUAAUGGCACACUUAUCGAGAGACUCUUCAUCAUGUCAAUGAACAUUUUGAAUUGAUUCUCGCCAUUUUUCUUGACGAGCCUUUGAGGAUAUGGAGGAGGUAACUUAGGCAGUGAUGCCUUAGCCUUUUGCACUACCGGAUCUGGUAUAUCAAUAACAUGAUCCCUAGACGGGUUCACUUCCUCUUGAGUCUCUUCCACAGUGUCAUCAAAAUCAAUUCACACUUCAUCAUUUGCUUGCACCACAUUAUUCGGGAUCUCUUCUACUUCUUUUACCACUUGCGCAUCAUCCACAAGUUGCCUUUGACUUGAGGUGGGUGUAUUCCCACCUCUUCCACUUCUUGUAGUAACGGCCAUGGCAUACCCCGUAUUGUUCCCACCCUUUGGAUUCACCACCUUGUCACUUGGUAGUACCCCCUUAGGACGAGAAUUUAAAGCUUGAGGGAUUUUCCCCAUUUGUACUUUUAAGUUGCGGAUCGAUGUGCUGUGUGAGGCAAGUUGGGCAUCAGAAUCGGCAUUCUUUUCCAUCAUUUGGUUAAACAUAUUCUCAAUACGACACAUUUCAUUGUUGAAAGAACUAGGACCAUGUGAAGGAUAAAGAGGUGGGUAACUCGGUUGUUGAUACAUCGGGGGCCUUUGAAAACCCGACCCUCGAUUUUCUUGAUUGUUAUUCCACCCUCCUUGAUUGUUGCCUCCCCAAUUCCCUUGGUUAUUGUUGUUAUGCCAAUUCCCUUGAUUAUUGCCUCCACUCUAAUUGCCUUGAUUGUUGUUGUUAUUCCAAUUGCUUUGAUUGUUUCCACCACUCAAAUUACCUUGAUUGUGAGAAUUCCAAUUUCCUUGAUUAUUUUGAGGUCUACAUUGUUGUUGGCUUGGGAAAUGGGAGUUGUUUCUUUGCCCUUGAAAGUUGUUCACAUAUUGGACUCUUCUUCUUGGUCAUUAUAAGAAUCCUCUUGCUCAAACCCACUAUCUUCUUGAAUAAAAUUUUCCACUCGUUGUUUCACUUGUAGACUUCUUGUUCUUCGCUUGUUCACCAUCAUACUUACUCCCUCCAUUGCAUUGACUUGCCUCGGGUUUUGCACUUAUUGAAGUUGAGCCUUUGCCAAUUGGUUCAUGAUGGUGGUCAACUCGGUUAUGGCUUGCCCAUGGUCAUACAAUUCUUUGUGAAGGUGAAUCACAUUGGGAUCACCUUGUGGAACAUUUGCUUGGGAUUGGCACGCCGAUGAAUUAUCUUCCAUCUCAUCCAAAAUAUUGCACGCCUCCGCAUAAGGCAUAGUCAUGAAGUUUCCACCGGUAAUUUGGUUCACUACACAGUGGUUGGUUGUAUUGAUCCCCCGAUAGAAAGUUUAAUGAAUCAUGUUCUCCGUCAUAUCAUUGUUGGGGGCACUCUUUCACCAUUGUCCUAUACCUUUCCCAUAUCUCAUGUAGUGGUUCAUUGGGCUCUUGCUUGAAUUCUAGAAUUUCAUCUCGAAGAAUAGCCAUUUGCUCGGGAGAGAAGUACUUAGAAAUAAAUUUCUUCGCUAAUUUAUCCCACGUAUGAAUGGAAUGAUUUGGCAAAUGUUCCAACCAAUCUAAAGCUUUCCCCCGUAGAGAGAAGGGGAAAAGACUUAGCCUCAAAGCAUCCUUGGAGACAUUUGUUUGUUUACUCCCCCAACAUGUAUCUACGAACCCCUUCAAGUGUUUGUAUGCAUUUUGACCCGGUGCACCGGUGAAGAACCCUUGUUGCUCGAGUAAAGUGAGCAUCACGUUGGUUAUUUUAAAUUUGCCCACCCUGAUACGGGGAAGGACUAUUGCACUUGCGUACCCUUCAUUCGGCAACAGACGGUGUGGAACCGCUCGUGGUGGAGGUGGGGGUGGAGCGGGCACAUUAUCAUGAGGCACUCGGCCUCGUCUAUUGGCUUGAGGUUCAAGAGGGACCUCAUCCAUUUGAUCAUUCUCAAUAUCCACAUCCCCCAAAGCUAUAUUUCCAAGCUCAUUGCUUGCCAUGAUUGCACCUACAAUAACUCAACACAUUAGUAACAAGGAAGGAAAAGAAGAUAUUCUCAAAAAUACACCUAAAUAUAUAGCUAACACAGUUUUUAGCUCCCCGACAACGGCGCCAAAAAUUGAUCUCGUCCAAUUUCACGACUCAAAUCAAGGUUAUGAAACGGUCGAUUGCAAUAAUAGUACCCAACAAGAGUCGGGAUCGAUUUUCACAAGGAGCUAUAUAUGGGAGUUAGGAGUAUAUAUAGUAGUAUGUGAGUUUGACUAUCUCAAUUUACACUUCCACAAAUUUGGGUUGUUUCUAUGUCUAAUUUAAAACUAAGAUUGCAAAGUUAAGAAAUAAAACUAAGAGAAUUGUUUUUGUUAUUUUUCAUGUUUUAUAAAAAGCCUAGGGCUUUGACCAUCACCUAGGUGUUUGCCUUAUGGGAUAUGGACCUUAAUGAUUGUUUUAUUGAUCGGGGUGUAUUAUAGCUAUCAACUCUCAAUUACCCACUCAAUACCUCACGGUCAAAGAGUGAUUUUGCCCAAUUUGGCUUUCUCAAGUCCAAAUGGGUAUUGCACAAAAUGGUUGAUAAAAGCUCAUGUCGGGUUAUUACUAUCUCUAGGUUGAACCCUUUAAUUGGGAUUAUCAAUCUUUCGAUUGACCCAAUUUCUUGUUAGCCAAGUUGUCCUAGACUAAGUCUCUCUUUCUCAAGUAGAGACUAAGUCAAAUAUGCAUAAACUAAUAUUUGCAACCAUUAAUUCCACAAAUUAAAGUAUGAACAAGGCAAAAUAAUAAACACUCAACCAUAAACAAGCAUCAAAUUAAACACCCAUAAGGUUUACACACUAGGGUUGGGUCACAACCCUAGUAAACAUCUAGCUAGCCAUGCUUGAAAUUGAAGAAAUAGAAGAAGAAGUGAUAAAUAAACUCAUAUUGUGAAAUAAAAAUGAUAAAAUCUAUGUUAAAAUAUCCCAAAAUAUGAAAAACUACUAAAAGAAGUAAAAAGAAAUGGCUAUUGUAGUUGCUGAUGUCAAAAGUUCACCUUAAAUCGUGAAAUUCGUCUAUUUAUACACGGUUGAAAAUUUCGGAAAAAAAUUCCCUUCUAGAAGUUUUGCGGCCGCACAAUUACAUGUGCGGUCCGCAGAUUUCUUCAAUCUUGUCAGGAACUGGAGGUCUGCGGCCGCAUAAUUCUGAUCUAUGGCCGCAAGGCAUCCUUUCUGCGGUUCGUACUUUUAUAUUUGCGGUCACAACUAGGUCUUCUGUGGUCCGCACUUUUACACAUGCGGCCGCAAGGCGCUUCUUCUGUGGCCUCUCAAUUCAUGUGCGGUCCGCACUUAUGAGGAACUUGAAAUGCACAUUCUCUUAACUUUAUUCCUAGCCAUCGUUUGCGGCCGCACAAUUUAUGUGCAGACCGUACUUUGCACAAAGGUCUCCUGGCCUUUCCUUCAUCAUUUGCAGCCGCAGAUGAUAUUCUGCGGUCCGUACUUGUGAGCUUAUGUGCCUUUUAUGGCCUUGAGUUUAGAUUACUCCUUUUUAAGUUGGAUUUCAUCUCGGGAGUUCAUCUUCCAAUAUUUCUGCAAUUUAGCACAUUUCAUCAGUUUUUGAAAACACAAUUAAAUGCUUUUGGACUAAAAUAAAAGUUAAAAGGUACUAAUAAGUAGUCAAAAUACCCACUUAUCAGGCUUCUUGGCCUGCGGCCCAAGCACAAUGUUGAAAGGAAAGAGUAAUUAACAAGAGCUGGGAAGGGUAGUUUAGGGUUUUAACUUAGGUAAUAAUGUUAAUAACUACUUAAGAGCUUCUAGAAGAGGGUAAAAGGACCGACUAGCAAAGGAAAAAUAAAAAGGGGGUCAGAUGUGAGGGAUUUAAUGAGUAAAAAUAGAAAAUUAAAAGGGUUGAAAGGAAAAGAAAAUUAAUGAAGGAGCCCUAAAUCUUUGGCUAUAAAAGGACACUCUUCUCAUAGAACCACACACACAUUUUUUCACACGCCUAAGCCCUAUAGCAGCUGGAAAUUUGAGAAUUCCAUAUUUGAACUUCAGAGAAGCUUCAAAACCCCAAAGUUGAAAAGGCAAAAAAAAAAGGGGAAUCAGAAGCUGAUCCAAAUCUCAGCUUAUUUACUUUAUAUUCUCUGGGAAUUUCAAGAUAUAAGUGAUGUUGUUUGCUACUGUUUGUUGGAUCUGUUAUUUGAGCUUCUUCUUCAUCAUUCUAGACCUUUAUUUGGUCUUUGUUUUGUUCUUUUCUACCUUAGGUAUGUGUACUUUCAUCUAUAGCCUUUCGUUUUGAGUUUGAGAAUGCAAUUUGAGUUGCAUGUGCUCUAUUUGUGUUUAUUCUUAUAGAUCCAAGCAUGCUGGCUACAAAUCUGCCUGGUUUGCCUUCUUAAUUAACCUUUGAAUUGUUUGUCUACUCCUGACAAUGAUUUACACUCUUAAAUAAUAAUUUCUAAGUAAUGUGGUCAUUAAUAGUAAUUGAUUUGAGCCUAAUGUGAUGUUUAUCUACUGGAUUUUUAAAAUAGCCAAACUGAUUUACAAGAGUAACCCAAAUAGUUGUGUCUUUGUAAAUUUAGAAGUUGUUUGGAGAAAAGAGAACCACACGGGAGGCAGACUUUUGUUAUGGAAGCUCAUAGAAUAGAAGCCUAGAUUUAAUUUUAUAUUAAUGAGUCUGUAAUUCAUGCUAUGAUUAGUGAAAUGUAUGAUUUAAAUUGCCCGCCUCUGUCUUUGCAAUUUUAUAUUAAUGAGUUUGUAAUUAUACAUUUCUGAGGCCCAGGUCUAUUGCUUAGAAUUUUGAAUUUGUUUGUCCUGGUCCAACAGUUUUUGAGGCCUGCGAUAAUUUGUGGACUUCUGGAAAUAUUAAUGACAUUGAAACAUGAUGAUUUGGGCUUCAAGUUUAGCCCAUUUAUGACUACAAGACAUAUUAAAGGUCUGGUGCAUUUGUUUAGUUCAUUUGAGUCCAUAAUGAUUUACUUCUUUAAAUAUGCAUGUUCACCAAAUAAUUCCUUAGGUGUGAGACCUCAUUCAAUAAUCUCAAACAUUUAGAAAUUAAUUAACCUAUGAACACUCGUAGAAUGCUUUAGGCGCGCUCUUAAUGUACUAUCGUGAUUAUGUAUAUGCUUGCGUAACAUAAUUAUGAUUCCAAAAAUAAAUCAAGGUACGCGUUAACGCGACAUUGGUUAAACAAUCUUAUUAAUAAUAAAGUAUUAUUAAUUAUGUACACGUAUGUGCGACAUAAUUUUAGCACACCAAAUAAAAUGGAUUCACACACAUAUGAUCUGUUCCAAGAUUAAUUCCAUAACGUCACAAUCAAGUAAUUAAAAGCGG
rnacentral:lncRNA from 1 species